UGCAUUGGCUGGGAAUCGAACCCGGGGCGCCCGCGUGGCAGGUGAGCAUUCUACCACUGAACCACCGAUGC
rnacentral:tRNA from 1 species